rnacentral:tRNA from 1 species
AGAAGUUUAGGUUAGACCUAGACCAAGAGCCUUCAAAGCUUUAAGCAAGUAGUAUAUACUUAACUUNUG